CAGCUACACGAGGAGCCAUAUCUCCGUAAGAACACUUGUAGCCUAAUAAUCUGACAUGUAUCUAACGGACGGUCGAGAUGAAAGAUAUGUAUCAUAUCUCUAACAAAACUGAGCUGAUGAUAUGAACCCCACACUCCUUCUUCCUUGAUUUUUCAAUGUUUGCACCGUCACCGAGGGAAUCCCCCAAAUACGUAUAAAUUGGACGUGAAGGGCUUUCCUUGACUUUGCAAAAGUGCCUCUGGAUUCUCUGAAUCAAUCGCUCUCUCUCUCUGUCUCACUCUCUCUCUCUCUCUCUCUCUCUCUCUGGUACGUCCAAUUUUGUUUUUCUUCUAUCUAGGUAUUAUCAUUAGCAGCCCACCUAGGGUUUUAUGUCAAGCCGGCUCGACUUUCUGGGGCUUCAAUUUUCUUUCAAAGCCAGGGUCUUUCUUCGAUUUUGUUCGUCUCUUUUUAGUUCCCAGAACCUUGAUUGCAUUGAAUUAUUCGACACAGCCUAUGAUUGGAAUCUUCCAUGCAGUUCAUUCGGUUUAAGGGUGUGAUGGUAAGCCUUUCCCUACUUGUUAAAAAUCUGUUAUUUUUGGCUUGAUCAAGUGGUUUUUAGUGUUUUUGGCGAUGAAAUCUCAUAUGGGUUGUGACUGGAAUGGUUGAAUUCGUCGUGUUCAUGUAGUUGGUUCUAGGGUUUUGAGGUUGAUUGUGCAAAACCCCAGCUGGGCAUGUUUUAGUAGUUUGAUAUUAGGACUUUGAAUCUGUCCAGCACCACAAUUUCCCAUCUGGGUAUUUGUUAAUUCUCGUCACUAGGGAGAAUUGGGCUCAAGUUUUCAUCUGGGUCAACUUCAAAAUCAUUAAUUUGUUUACCUUUUCACUAGUUUUAGCAUUUUGUUUGGUGGCGAUUUUGAUAUCCUAAUGGAGGACGGGGAGCUUGAUUUCUCGAACCAAGAAGUGUUUUCAAGUCCGAAGAUGGGGGAGUUUCCGAGCAGUUGCUCAAUGGAUAGUUUCUUUGAUGAACUUCUCAAGGACACUCAUGCUUGCACUCACACCCACACUUGUAACCCAUCCGGCCCUGAUUCUUCGCAUACGCACACCUGUUUUCAUGUGCACACUCAAAUCGUGCCUGUCCCAUCUGAGGACAAGGUUUCCACUGAUGAUACUGCAGAGUCCACUGAAAAGAAAGGGAAGAAACGCCCCUUAGGCAAUCGGGAAGCAGUUCGCAAGUACCGUGAGAAGAAGAAGGCCCGAGCUGCAUCGUUGGAGGAUGAAGUUACCAGAUUGAGGAAUUUGAAUCAGCAGUUGUUGAAGAGGUUGCAGGGUCAAUCUGCAUUGGAGGCAGAGAUUGCAAGGCUUAAGUGCUUGCUUGUGGACAUUCGAGGAAGGAUUGAAGGGGAAAUUGGAUCAUUCCCAUAUCAGAAAUCAGUCAAUCCAAACUUGCCUCAUCCGAACAUUCCGAGUGCAUAUGUGAUGAACCCGUGUAACAUGCAGUGUAGUGAUCAGGUCUAUUGUCUUAAUCCAGUUGUGGAUGGAAAUAGAGGUGAAGGCACAUCAUUAAACGGGCAAGACUUUAAUGGCUGUGAAUUUGAGAAUCUUCAGUGUUUGGUGAAUCAGAAUUCGGUAUCCAAGGAGCUUUCUGGUUGUGGUGUUGGGGAUGUAGCAGCCGAUGUCAAUUCAUUUGGUACGAAUAAGAGGAAAGGAGGGGCUCGUUCAGCAAAAGCAAGUUGAAGAGCUGAUUAGUUGGCAGUGUCUUUGUCAAGGAUACAUAUGGUCUUCCAAAUAAAUAGUUUUGUUGAACUGCAGCAUCAGCUUUCCCUCAGAACUUAGGGAGAUGGGAUGCCUUUCAUCUUUCAAUGCUAUGAGAUGUGAACAGGUGAGAACAAAACUCGCUUUGUGUGAUCCAAACUUCUUGUUUGUGUGGAAGGAUAGAAUCAGCUUGCGAUGUUUCCAGUAUAUUUUAUUCCAGUUACUUUGCUGCCAUAUAAUACAAGAAGUUUGCUUCUGCCCUUGGCAUUUUCCUAACAAAAGUAUGCCAGAUUUCCAUCAGGAAGAAAGCAUUGCCUUCUAACUGAAGUUCUGCAAAGGGAUUCAUGUCAUCCUCGAGUUGUGACAGAAAAUUGGGUAAAUUGCUCAGUAUGUUGACCCUAAUUGACCCAACUGGCCACUGUGAUUACCAACCAAUGGAACACUCUCACCACCACUAUUAGGGUGAGAAAUAAAGAUAGGAGGAUAUUAUAUCUAUGGAGCUCAUGGCCUUUUAUGGUCAUCUACUUAAAAGAUUGUUCUAGCUUGCUAACUUGUUGAAUUCAUUAAGGCAAAACUUCGUAGCAUAGUUCUUUUCAAGUCAUAAUUAAGCGGAGGUGAAAGUGGGGUGCCCGUUUGAUUAUGCAUAAUAAUGAGUUGAACAUAUAUAUUGGUGGUGGA